UACGUAGGGUGCGAGCGUUAAUCGGAAUUACUGGGCGUAAAGCGUGCGCAGGCGGUUCGUUAAGUCAGAUGUGAAAGCCCCGGGCUCAACCUGGGAACUGCAUUUGAAACUGGCGGGCUUGAGUAUGGCAGAGGGGGGUGGAAUUCCGCGUGUAGCAGUGAAAUGCGUAGAGAUGUGGAGGAACACCGAUGGCGAAGGCAGCCCCCUGGGCUGAGAUUGACGCUCAGGCACGAAAGCCAGGGGAGCAAACGGG
rnacentral:rRNA from 1 species